CUACGGGGUGCAGCAGUGAGGAAUUUUGCGCAAUGGGGGGAACCCUGACGCAGCAACGCCGCGUGAGUGAUGAAGGCUUUCGGGUCGUAAAGCUCUGUCAAGUGGGAAGAACCUAUGCAGUGUUAAUAUCACUGUAUACUGACGGUACCACUGAAGGAAGCACCGGCUAGCUCCGUGCCAGCAGCCGCGGUAAUACGGGGGGUGCAAGCGUUAUUCGGAAUCAUUGGGCGUAAAGGGCACGUAGGCGGCUUGGUAAGUCAGAUGUGAAAGCCCGGGGCUUAACCCCGGAAGUGCAUUUGAUACUGUCAGGCUUGAGUAUGGGAGAGGGAAGUGGAAUUCCUGGUGUAGAGGUGAAAUUCGUAGAUAUCAGGAGGAACACCGGUGGCGAAGGCGACUUCCUGGACCAAUACUGACGCUGAGGUGCGAAGGCGUGGGUAGCAAACAGGAUUAGAUACCCUCGUAGUC
rnacentral:rRNA from 1 species